rnacentral:rRNA from 1 species
GACGAACGCUGGCGGCGUGCUUAACACAUGCAAGUCGAACGGAAAGGCCCUGCUUUUGUGGGGUGCUCGAGUGGCGAACGGGUGUGUAACACGUGAGUAACCUGCCCUUGACUUUGUGAUAACUUCAGGAAACUGGGGCUAAUACCGGAUAGGAGCUCCUGCUGCAUGGUGGGGGUUGGAAAGUUUCGGCGGAUGGGGAUGGACUCGCGGCUUAUCAGCUUGUUGGUGGGGUAGUGGCUUACCAAGGCUUUGACGGGUAGCCGGCCUGAGAGGGUGACCGGCCACAUUGGGACUGAGAGACGGACCAGACGCCUACGGGGGGCAGCAGUGGGGAAUAUUGCACAAUGGGCGGAAGCCUGAUGCAGAAACGCCGCGUGCGGGAUGACGGCCUUCGGGUUGUAAACCGCAUUCGCCUGUGACGAAGCGGGAGUGACGGUAAUGGGUAAAGAAGCACCGGCUAACUACGUG